UACGAAGGGGGGCUAGCGUUGUUCGGAUUUACUGGGCGUAAAGCGUGCGCAGGCGGUUCGUUGUGUCGGCGGUGAAAGCCCCCGGGCUCAACCUGGGAAUGGCCGUUGAAACUGGCGAACUGGAGUGUGGCAGAGGGGGGGUGGAAUUCCGACGUGUAGCAGUGAAAUGCGUAGAGAUGUGGAGGAAUACCGAGUGGCGAAGGCAGCCCCCUGGGACUAACACUGACGCUCAUGCACGAAAGCGUGGGGAGCAAACAGG
rnacentral:rRNA from 1 species